AAAAGAAACUAACAAGGAUUCCCCUAGUAGCGGCGAGCGAAGCGGGAAGAGCUCAAAUUUAUAAUCUGGCACUUUCAGUGUCCGAGUUGUAAUCUCUAGAAGUGUUUUCCGCAUUGGACCGCACACAAGUCUGUUGGAAUACAGCGGCACAGUGGUGAGACCCCCGUAUACGGUGCGGAUGCCCAAUGCUUUGUGAUACACUUUCGAAGAGUCGAGUUGUUUGGGAAUGCAGCUCAAAUUGGGUGGUAAAUUCCAUCUAAAGCUAAAUAUUGGCGAGAGACCGAUAGCGAACAAGUACCGUGAGGGAAAGAUGAAAAGCACUUUGGAAAGAGAGUUAACAGUACGUGAAAUUGUUGGAAGGGAAACGCUUGAAGUCAGACUUGCUAUUCGGGGCUUGCUCCGAGUUGCAGGCCAGCAUCAGUUUUCUGGGGUGGAAAAUCACGGUUAGAAGGUAGCAACUUCGGUUGUGUUAUAGCUUUCCGUUGGAUACAUCCUGGGGGACUGAGGAACGCAGUGUGCUUUUAGCAGGAGCUUCGGCUUCAUCACACUUAGGAUGCUGGUGGAAUGGCUUUAAACGACCCGU
rnacentral:rRNA from 1 species